UGAAUGGCGAAUAUGUCCAAGUCCAUGCUAACAGAAAGGAGCAGAUCUCAGGAACCUGAAGAAACCGGCACACAAUAGAAUCUAUAAAAGCUUUCAAGGGAUUGCAUGAGACUUACCAAAUCAACUGGACACCAAAGUUUGGCCAAGAUAACACAUAAAAUUAGCCAUCACAAAGACUAAAUGAAGCCUCCCUAUAACAAAGCUGGA
rnacentral:lncRNA from 1 species